rnacentral:rRNA from 1 species
UACGUAGGGUGCAAGCGUUAAUCGGAAUUACUGGGCGUAAAGCGUGCGCAGGCGGUGAUGUAAGACAGUUGUGAAAUCCCCGGGCUCAACCUGGGAACUGCAUCUGUGACUGCAUCGCUGGAGUACGGUAGGGGGGGAUGGAAUUCCGCGUGUAGCAGUGAAAUGCGUAGAUAUGCGGAGGAACACCGAUGGCGAAGGCAAUCCCCUGGACCUGUACUGACGCUCAUGCACGAAAGCGUGGGGAGCAAACAGG